rnacentral:rRNA from 1 species
CACGUAGGGUCCAAGCGUUUAUCCGGAAUCACUGGGCGUAAAGCGUGCGUAGGCGGAAGCUUAAGUGUGAUGUUAAAUCGUGUGGCUCAACCAUAUCGAUGCAUCGCAUACUGGGCUUCUAGAGGAAGGCAGAGGCAAGUGGAAUUUGUAGUGUAGCAGUGAAAUGCGUAGAUAUUACAAGGAACACCAAUGGCGAAGGCAGCUUGCUGGGCCUUUUCUGACGCUGAGGUACGAAAGCGUGGGGAGCGAACAGG